rnacentral:lncRNA from 1 species
UACAUUCCAUUUUCCACAAUGAAAUUGGCAGAUAAUGAGCAAUGGAAUAUUCAAGAGUCCAGUGCACAGGGUAUUGAGUAAUUCAGAGAGGGAUAGAAUUUCUAUCGCAAUGUUCUACACGCCUGAAGUAGGGCAAGAAAUCGGACAAGAAGAUAGCUUAGUUAAUGAAGACAGACCAAAGAUGUACAAGACAGUGAAAGAUUAUGCAGAUACUCACAUGGAGUUUUACCGGCGUGGUGAGAGAUCAAUACACACUGCCCAAAUUUAGAGCUAGAUAUGUUUUUCCUCUCUACUUUUUGUUGUUUUGACAUGGC